rnacentral:rRNA from 1 species
CUCCUACGGGAGGCAGCAGUGAGGAAUAUUGGACAAUGGGCGCAAGCCUGAUCCAGCCAUGCCGCGUGCAGGAUGACGGUCCUAUGGAUUGUAAACUGCUUUUAUACGAGAAGAAACACUUGUUCGUGAACAAGCUUGACGGUACUGUAAGAAUAAGGAUCGGCUAACUCCGUGCCAG